AUACGGAAGGUGCAAGCGUUAAUCGGAAUCACUGGGCGUAAAGCGCUCGUAGGUGGCUUUGUAAGUCAGGUGUGAAAGCCCACGGCUCAACCGUGGAAUUGCACUUGAUACUGCAUUGAAACUUGAGUUCGGGAGAGGGUAGUGGAAUUCCAGGUGUAGGAGUGAAAUCCGUAGAGAUCUGGAGGAACACCAGUGGCGAAGGCGACUACCUGGACCGAUACUGACACUGAGGAGCGAAAGCGUGGGGAGC
rnacentral:rRNA from 1 species